rnacentral:rRNA from 1 species
AGUGAACGCUGGCGGUAGGCCUAACACAUGCAAGUCGAACGGCAGCACAGUAAGAGCUUGCUCUUACGGGUGGCGAGUGGCGGACGGGUGAGGAAUACAUCGGAAUCUACUUUUUCGUGGGGGAUAACGUAGGGAAACUUACGCUAAUACCGCAUACGACCUACGGGUGAAAGCAGGGGAUCUUCGGACCUUGCGCGAUUGAAUGAGCCGAUGUCGGAUUAGCUAGUUGGCGGGGUAAAGGCCCACCAAGGCGACGAUCCGUAGCUGGUCUGAGAGGAUGAUCAGCCACACUGGAACUGAGAAACGGUCCAGACUCCGACGGGAGGCAGCAGUGGGGAAUAUUGGACAAUGGGCGCAAGCCUGAUCCAGCCAUACCGCGUGGGUGAAGAAGGCCUUCGGGUUGUAAAGCCCUUUUGUUGGGAAAGAAAAGCAGCAGGUUAAUACCCCGCUGUUCUGACGGUACCCAAAGAAUAAGCACCGGCUAACUUCGUG